CAAUCUUGGCUGAAUGCGAUGGCUCCCAGUGCAGGGAGGGCUCGGCUCGGCGCUGCUGCGGAAUGGAAGACUGCCGCUCGCCUGCCCUUCUGUCUCUCGUCUAGACUCAAAGUGCCAUGGUUUGAGAGUCUUACCUGGCUCUCUUCAGAUAAACAGUCUUCAGGACCCUAAAGGCGCAGAGGGAAGGAUUAAGAAGAACGGCUGUGCAAUGGGUUUCUGUUCCUGUUUGCUUUUGUUUGAGACACUGAGCCCCCCUCUUACCAGGAUCAUCUGUCUGCCUGGUGGACGAGCUGCAUCCUGCCCACUGCAACAAUUUCACAUAGAGAUGUACUCAGGCUGCAGGAUGAAAAAUUGCUGGACGAGAUCAGCGGGACUCACUGAGUGGGACGAGAAAAAUAGCCAGGCCAGUGAAGAUGGAUGGGUGACAGUCCCAUCGGACACAGCGAUUCAGAACUCCAUCACCACGGAGACAAGCAGUGAAAUCGGGAAUGCUGAAAGCCCACAACAGGAUAGGGGAAAAAUAUAUUAAAAAAGAGAGUAGAUGUUUUAGAAGUUUUAGAAGUGUAAAUCGCAAGCAUUACUUUGGGGUUCUAUGAUUUUUAGUAUUACAGACACAAAUCUCAUGUUUUGUGUUGUGAUUUUUUUUAUUUAUUUUUAGAUUAAAAAAAAAUAAUAAUAAAAACAUAAUUUAACUUAAAGUAAUGUAAUGUAAAGUAAUGGAGACUAAACACAUUAAAUAAAUGUCCCCCAUCAAAAUGGUGAUAUGAUAAGUAAAUAAGGCUAAUUUGCAACCCUGUAUUGUAAUUGAAAGAUUUGCAUUUUUAUGAUUAUUUACUGUUUAUUUCGAUGUAACCUUUUAUAGUCUAUAUUUAGUUAAUGAAUGAAUGAAUGAAUUCUUGAAUUAAUUAAUUUGUUUGUGUGUUUAGUUUACUGGAAAAUAACAAUCAGGUGUUAAACUUUAUUUACUCUUUGUAUUGGUAUAUGUUGC
rnacentral:lncRNA from 1 species